UGACUUAAGCAUAUCAAUAAGCGGAGGAAAAGAAACCAACAGGGAUUGCCCUAGUAACGGCGAGUGAAGCGGCAACAGCUCAAAUUUGAAAUCUGGCUCUUUUAGGGUCCGAGUUGUAAUUUGCAGAGGGCGCUUUGGCGUUGGCAGCGGUCCAAGUUCUUUGGAACAGGACGUCACAGAGGGUGAGAAUCCCGUACGUGGUCGCUAGCCUUCGCCGUGUAAAGCCCCUUCGACGAGUCGAGUUGUUUGGGAAUGCAGCUCUAAAUGGGAGGUAAAUUUCUUCUAAAGCUAAAUACUGGCCAGAGACCGAUAGCGCACAAGUAGAGUGAUCGAAAGAUGAAAAGCACUUUGGAAAGAGAGUCAAAUAGCACGUGAAAUUGUUGAAAGGGAAGCGCUUGCAGCCAGACUUGCCUGUAGUUGCUUAUCCGGACUUUUGUCCGGUGCACUCUUCUGCGGGCAGGCCAGCAUCAGUUUAGGCGGUUGGAUAAAGGUCUCUAUCACGUACCUCCCUUCGGGGUUGGCCUUAUAGGGGAGACGACAUGCAACCAGCCUGAACUGAGGUCCGCGCAUCUGCUAGGAUGCUGGCGUAAUGGCUGUAAGCGGCCCGUCUUGAAACACGGACCAAGGAGUCUAACAUCUAUGCGAGUGUUUGGGUGUCAAGCCCAGACGCGUAAUGAAAGUGAACGGAGGUGGGAACCUUUUAGGUGCACCAUCGACCGAUCCUGAUGUCUUCGGAUGGAUUUGAGUAAGAGCAUGGCUGUUGGGACCCGAAAGAUGGUGAACUAUGCUUGAAUAGGGUGAAGCCAGAGGAAACUCUGGUGGAGGCUCGCAGCGGUUCUGACGUGCAAAUCGAUCGUCAAAUUUGGGCAUAGGGGCGAAAGACUAAUCGAAC
rnacentral:rRNA from 1 species